rnacentral:rRNA from 1 species
GAUGAACGCUAGCGGCAGGCUUAAUACAUGCAAGCCGUGGGGCAGCAUGAAGUAGCAAUACUUUGAUGGCGACCGGCAAACGGGUGCGGAACACGUACACAACCUUCCUUUUAGUGGGGAAUAGCCCAGAGAAAUUUGGAUUAAUACCCCGUAACAUAGCGAUGUGGCAUCACAUUGCUAUUAUAGCUUCGGCGCUAGAUGAUGGGUGUGCGUAUGAUUAGAUAGUUGGCGAGGUAACGGCUCACCAAGUCUACGAUCAUUAGCUGAUGUGGGAGAAUGAUCAGCCACACGGGCACUGAGACACGGGCCCGACUCCUACGGGAGGCAGCAGUAAGGAAUAUUGGUCAAUGGACGAAAGUCUGAACCAGCCAUGCCGCGUGAAGGAUUAAGGUCCUCUGGGUUGUAAACUUCUUUUAUAUGGGACGAAAAAAGGUCUUUCUAGAUCACUUGACGGUACCAUAUGAAUAAGCACCGGCUAACUCCGUGCCAGCCGCCGCCGUAACAC